AACAUAUUUCCAACAUACAUUGUUCAAAACACAACAUAAACCCAUAAACCUAACAACAAGCCUAAACAUGCAUUCUACCCCAUCAACUUGUAUAAAACUUUCAUAAAACAUAAAAGAAGCAUAGAUCGAAGCUUACCUCUUGAAGAUCGAGAGGAAGAAUGACCCUAGCUCGGAAAAUGGAGGGAUUUAGCUCCAAGACUUCCAAGCUCCAAACUUGCUUAAAAACACUCAAAAACCUUUGUGGAACCUUAAAACUCAAAGAAAAUGGUGGGGG
rnacentral:lncRNA from 1 species